GGAAGUGUUGCUGAUUUUUUAGGAGUCCAUAACAUUAAUGCCCUGCUCUAUAAGUACUUUGCUAGCCAUUAGAGUAAAAUACUAAAUGUCAAAUAAUAUCCUUUUUAGUCUCAGAUAUGGGUUUGAUUAUACAGUCCCCAAACGGAGACAAACAAACAAAUGACACAAAAUAAUCACGAAUGACAGAAACAAAAGAAGAGUAAAAACGCCAUAGGCAUCCCCAAGCGUUUUUGCUUAUUUUUUUUUGCUAUCCGAUGCGUUCUAAGGAAGACGGUAUGAGAUGUGAUGACUCCAUGCUCGGGUAGUGUUGAGUCUCGAGUGAGACUCGAUUUGCUCCAAGUGCAUAUGCAAAGACAAACAAAUAAGAAUUAGAAGAAAAUGGAAUCCGAUUCUUUAUACUACAUAAGAGAUAAAUAAAGAGGUAAAAAUCAUAAUAUAACUCAUCUCAUAGUAGUUUAUAAUAUGAAACACUCCACAUAAUAUUGUUUUCUUCAAGAAGAAAUAUUAGGUUUGUAUUCAACAGCUCUAGCCAUCAAGGUUCAAUAUUUAACUUAAAUGGCUAAACUUUAUGUCAUGAAAAUAUUAUGACUAAGUUACAAUAUCUACCUAAUACUAUUCAAUUAAACAGUCACCUAUGGUCACUCCUAGAAGCAAAGUAAGUUUCUUAUGAAAAAAAAAUGACUCAGGCUAAACAAAAUGAAUAAGUUAGUCAAGCAUGGGUUAUAUCUUCUAACGAAAUUCAUGAGAUAAUUCUUAUAGCAGUAAAGUAUGAGUCCUACAAUAUCUAGAUUUGACUAAUCCUAGAGUUACAUUUUCUGUUACUUGAAAACAACAAAAGGAAAUGUAUUAGCACUUCAAACAGAACAUGUCUCUUCUCUGAUCUUUAGAAUAAGCAUUUACAUAUUAAUAUUACCUCUUUAAUUACAUAAGCAAUGUUAUACUCAUAGGCAACUUUAUACAUUAAUUCUACCAAAAAUUCUUCUAGCUCAUUGUAAAAUAAAGUAAUAAUUCAAAUUACAUAACUAGAAAGUUAUUUUUUAACAUGGUGAUUUCCAUGGCAUUUAAACUAGAAGAACAACAAACUUGGAAUCAUAUUUUGAAUACGAAACGACCACAAUAAUUAUAGAGUUAACUCAGAGGAAGAAAAGUUUUAGCUAAUAAAUACACGCUAGAUAAAGAUUUUAAACUGAUCACUUUAAUUAAAGAAAGAUACAGAUUGAUGGUAACACCUUAAAGCAAAAAAGGCAUAAUAUUAACAACUCCAUACUAUCAUCAGCUAUCUAUUUAUAUAAAUACUUAGUCAAACUCUUACUUUCGUUUAAAUUUUAUUCGAGCAGAAUAACUAAGUACAUAAUUUCUACACACCAAUUAACUCUAAAUCACAAUUCACACAUACAAUAAACUACAGCUCAUUCAAACAAAAAUACAAUCAUUUUAGAUAUUCAAAGAAGAAGAAAAAAAAUGAGAGAAAAAAAAUACUUCAGUUACUGACCUUUUUGCAGGCAGUGAACUAAGGUUUUUGAGGUUUCAGAUCUACUCCGCGAACAAGAUUGACGGUAGAAUCAGUUUUAACAAAAUGAAGCGAAUUUAAAAUAACAAUGAUUAGUAGUGUUAAGAGAGUAGUAAGAUAGAUGAGAUUUUUAUGGUUCUCCCCGCUUGGCUUCGGCUGAGACUUAGAGAAGUAUUUAUAGGCGAUAAAAAGGUAGGGUUUCUGAAGAGCGGGAACUUGAAAUUUCGAAUUCGAAAUCUUGGUCAACAUAUCCGUUUGAAUCCUAACGUUGGAGGUUUGGACAGACUUCAUCUUCACGUGAUGCUUCAGGUCAUGCCCGAAAUGGUGAAAUUUGGUCUGAUCCUUGAAGAUUCACCACAAAAAGAGAGAUAAAAGAAAACAUCAAGACAAAAAUAUGAGAUAGAGGGAAAUGACACAUGCACAAAAAAAAGAUCUAGCAUAUUCUGAUGUAGAGGAUGGAGAAGAUUGUAUUUUGUUCAUAAGAGGAAAGGAGAGGAAGGGUGGGGGCUGACAAGUCUUGGAAGAAACAAAUGGGACCUAAUUUAUU
rnacentral:lncRNA from 1 species